rnacentral:rRNA from 1 species
GACGAACGCUGGCGGCGCGCCUAACACAUGCAAGUCGAACGAGCGAGAGAGAGCUUGCUUUCUCGAGCGAGUGGCGAACGGGUGAGUAACGCGUGAGGAACCUGCCUCAAAGAGGGGGACAACAGUUGGAAACGACUGCUAAUACCGCAUAAGCCCACGACCCGGCAUCGGGUUGAGGGAAAAGGAGCGAUCCGCUUUGAGAUGGCCUCGCGUCCGAUUAGCUGGUUGGUGAGGUAACGGCCCACCAAGGCGACGAUCGGUAGCCGGACUGAGAGGUUGAACGGCCACAUUGGGACUGAGACACGGCCCAGACUCCUACGGGAGGCAGCAGUGGGGAAUAUUGCACAAUGGGGGAAACCCUGAUGCAGCGACGCCGCGUGGAGGAAGAAGGUCUUCGGAUUGUAAACUCCUGUUGUUGAGGAAGAUAAUGACGGUACUCAACAAGGAAGUGACGGCUAACUACGUGCCAGCAGCCGCGGUAAAACGUAGGUCACAAGCGUUGUCCGGGAUUACUGGGUGUAAAGGGAGCGCAGGCGGGAAGACAAGUUGGAAGUGAAAUCUAUGGGCUCAACCCAUAAACUGCUUUCAAAACUGUUUUUCUUGAGUAGUGCAGAGGUAGGCGGAAUUCCCGGUGUAGCGGUGGAAUGCGUAGAUAUCGGGAGGAACACCAGUGGCGAAGGCGGCCUACUGGGCACCAACUGACGCUGAGGCUCGAAAGUGUGGGUAGCAAACAGG